AAGAGAAUCAGUUCAUAAACUCUC
rnacentral:siRNA from 1 species